UAGCGCUUGAAGCACUUUACCCAAAUCAAGUCCCUUUCGUAUCACUCCUUCCCGGCCUUUCCUACGUAUCCACUCGAAUGCUGAAAGUUGGAGCUCCUUACCCAAAGACUGGGCGGAAGGGGUGACCGCCCUGGACCCCUGCCCGACUUCCCGUUAGGUCAAGCAGCCGUCCUGAAAGGGGAUCGUGUCCAGGCCGGCUUCCUGGAGACACACCUGCGCCUGCACACACCCACCGCGGUCGCGUCACCAGUGCCGCGGCCACCUGGACGAGGACCAAAGUCUGGAGGGAAUUCCCUCAGCCAUAGAGCGAUGGGAAAGCGGGACCCGGUGGAGACUGGAGUCUUGCUAUGCUUUCCAGGCUGGUUUUGAACUCCUAACCUCAAGCGAUUUUCCUGCCUCAGCCUCCCAAAGUGCUGGGAUUACAGGCAUGAUCCACCCGGCCCUGUUGUUUUUAAGAAAAUUACAAGUUAAAUCUUGUAUCAGUGAACAAGAUAAGGGAUGGUGAUGUGGAGCUGCAAUUCCUGGUUCUAAAUCCUGGCUCCUCCCCUCAUCCCUGGGUAAGUUGAGGGAUGAGAGCAAGAGAAGGUUAAUCCUGACUCUCAGAUCUCUGCAUGGGGCAUGUCACUGAUGAUGGCGGCAUUCCCUGAGAGAGGGAACACUAAGUUUCCAGUUGGGCAUAGUGAGUACUAUUUUGGAUGAGUUAAGUUUAGAAGUGCCUGAAGACAUCC